AUGGUGGCCUGCCGGGUGAUUGGCAUCCUCAGCCGCUUCUCUGCCUCCAGGAUCCUCCGCCCCCAAGGUUAUAUAUGCCUUGUACAGAGUCUUCUGCUUUGCUGACCAGAACCCAUAUUAACUAUGGAGUCAAAGGGGAUGUGGCAGUUAUUCAAAUUAACUCUCCCAAUUCAAAGGUAAAUACACUGAGUAAAGAGCUGCGUUUAGAGGUCAUAGAAGUUAUGAAUGAAAUCCGGCCUAGCGAUCAAAUCAGAAGUGCCGUUCUUAUCUCAUCAAAGCCAGGCUGCUUUAUUGCAGGUGCUGAUGUCAACAUGUUAGCUGCUUGCAAGAUCCCUCGAGAAGUAACACAGAUCUCACAAGAAGCACAGAGCACACUUGAGAAACUUGAAAAGUCCACAAAGACUACUGUGGCUGCCAUCAGUGGAUCCUGCCUGGGAGGAGGACUUGAGCUUGCUGUUUCAUGCCAAUACAUAAUAGCAACAAAAGACAGAAAAUAGGAUUAGGUACCCCUGAAGUCUUGUUGGGGAUCUUACCAGGAGCAGGGGGCACGCAAAGGCUGCCCAAAAUGGUGGGGUGUCUGCUGCUUUUGACAUGAUGCUGACUGGUAGAAACAUUCGUGCAGACAGGGCAAAGCAAAUGGGACUGGUUGGCCAAUUGGUGGAACCCCUGGGACCAGGACUAAAACCUCCAGAGGAACGGACAAUCGAAUACACAGAAGAAGGUGCAAUUACUUUCGCCAAAGGACUAGCUGAUAAGAAGAUCUCUCCAAAGAGAGACAAGGGAUUGGUGGAAAAAUUGACAGCAUAUGCCAUGACUAUUCCACUUGUCAGGCGACAGGUUUACAAAAACGUGGAAGAAAAAGUGCGAAAGCAGACUAAAGGCCUUUAUCCUGCACCUCUGAAAAUAAUUGAUGUGGUAGAGACUGGAAUUGAUCAAGGGAGUGAUGCUGGUAUCUCUCUGAAUCUCAGAAAUUUGGAGAGCUUGCAAUGACCGAAGAAUCAAAGGCCUUGAUGGGACUCUACCAUGGUCAGGUCCUGUGCAAGAAGAAUAAAUUUGGAGCUCCACAGAAGGAUGUUAAGCAUCUGGCUAUUCUUGGUGCAGGGCUGAUGGGAGCAGGCAUCGCCCAAGUCUCUGUGGAUAAGGGGCUAAAGACUAUACUUAAAGAUACCACACUCACUGGGCUAGGCCAAGGACAGCAACAGGCAUUCAAAGGAUUGAAUGAGAAAAUGAAGAAGAAAGCUCUAACAUCAUUUGAAAGGGAUUUCGUCUUCAGCAACUUGACUGGGCAGCUUGAUUACCAAGGUUUUGAAAAGGCCGACAUGGUGAUUGAAGCUGUGUUUGAGAACCUUAGUCUUAAGCACAGAGUGCUAAAGGGAGUAGAAGCGAUGAUUCCAGAUCACUGUAUCCUUGCCAGUAACACAUCCCUCUCCCAAUCAGUGAAAUCGCUGCUGUCAGCAAAAGACCUGAGAAGGUGAUUGGCAUGCACUACUUCUCUCCCGUGGACAAGAUGCAGCUGCUGGAGAUGAUCACAACCGAAAAAACUUCCAAAGACACCAGUGCUUCAGCUGUAGCAGUUGAUCUCAAGCAGGGCAAGGUCAUCACUGUGGUUAAGGAUGGACCUGACUUCUAUACCACCAGGUGCCUUGCACCCAUGAUGUCUGAAGUCAUCUGAAUCCUCCAGGAAGGAGUUGACCCGAAGAAGCUGGAUUCCCUGACCACAAGCUUUGGCCUUCCUGUGGGUGCCGCGACACUGGUGGAUGAAGUUGGCGUGGAUGUAGCAAAACGUGUGACAGAAGAUCUGAGCAAAGUCUUUGGGGAGCGAUUUGGAGGUGGAAACCCAGAACUGCUGGCACAGAGGGUCUCCAAGGGCUUCCUAGGUCGAAAGUCUGGGAAGGGCUUUUACAUCUGUCAGGAGGGUGUGAAGAGUAAGAAUUUGAAUUCUGACAUGGAUAGUAUUUUGGCGAGUCUGAAGGUACCUCCAAAGUCUGAAGUCUCCUCAGACGAAGACAUCCAGUUCUGCCUGGUGACAAGAUUUGUGAAUGAGGCAGUCAUGUGCCUCCAGGAGGGGAUCUUGGCCACACCUGCAGAGGGAGACAUCGGAGCGGUCUUUGGGCUCGGCUUCCCGCCCUGUCUUGGAGGGCCUUUCCGCUUUGUGGAUCUGUAUGGCGCCCAGAAGCUAGUGGACUGGUUCCAGAAGUAUGAGGCUGCCCAUGGAAAAGAGUUCACGCCCUGCCAGCUGCUGGCUGACCAUGCUAACAGCCCUGACAAGAAGUUCUCCCAGUGA